rnacentral:rRNA from 1 species
AUACGUAGGGGGCAAGCGUUGUCCGGAUUUAUUGGGCGUAAAGGGUACGCAGGCGGCCUUUUAAGUCAGAUGUGAAAGAUCACGGCUCAACCGUGGUAAGCAUUUGAAACUGGAAGGCUUGAGUUAAGGAGAGGAAAGUGGAAUUCCUAGUGUAGCGGUGAAAUGCGUAGAUAUUAGGAGGAAUACCAGUGGCGAAGGCGACUUUCUGGACUUAUACUGACGCUGAGGUACGAAAGCGUGGGGAGCGAACAGGAUUAGAUACCCUGGUAGUCCACGCCGUAAACGAUGAGUGCUAGGUGUCGGGGGUCAAACCUCGGUGCCGCAGCUAACGCAUUAAGCACUCCGCCUGGGGAGUACGUACGCAAGUAUGAA